AAGAUGUUAACUUAAUUUUAAAGUGUCAAAUUUUUAAUUUGAAAAUGUUUUUUACACAUCUUA
rnacentral:tRNA from 1 species